rnacentral:lncRNA from 1 species
UCGGCGUUCACCGUUGCGCUUACGUCGGCCACUCCGUCUCCGCCAUGAUCGGUAUCUUGGCUUCCAUUCGCUGCCCUCAACUCUUCUCCAAACUCAUCCUCAUCGGCGCUUCUCCCAGGUAAAACGGAAGAAAAAAAUUGGCCUUUGUGGUUCACCGGUGAAAUAUGUUAAAAUUUAAAUUUUCAAAAUUUCAGGACUAAAAUUAGACCUAAUAAUAAAGGAUUGAAUUAAAUCAAAAAGACUAAAUUUAAAGUUUUAGCACAACACAAGGACUAAAAUUAGAGUUACCGAAAUGAAAUUUAUGGUUUCCAGGUUUCUCAAUGACGAAAAUUACCACGGAGGGUUCGAGCUAGGCGAGAUUGAGGAAGUAUUUUCAGCAAUGGAAGCCAACUACGAAGCUUGGGUCAACGGGUUUGCCCCAGUGUUGGUGGGGGCCGAUGUGCCGACAGCGGUUCGAGAGUUCAGCCGGACACUUUUC